rnacentral:ncRNA from 16 species
UUUUUAAAAGGAGACAUUUGAACUAUAUACUUUAUUUGGGCACUUUGUAUAUAGGGAGUCAUUAGUGCAACCGACCUUAUUUUAU